GCUGUCUUAUUGGUAGAAAUCACUGAACACUGGAAAGAUCUGAAAUUCUCAAAGAUGGUUUGGAUAUAUUUGCACAUUGGCUGUCUCCAAAUAUAGUAAAACUCUGGAGCUCUUUCAGAUGAAAGCUGGUGGUGAGGACACUGAGACGCAGAGUGGUUAACUUGUCGAGGGUCACACACCCUAUUCACUCUGAGAAUGAGAAGCGGAAUGAGAAGCAGUUCUGUGCCAGGCCCAUGCCAAAACAGAGAAUCCGUAUUGUCAAGGCAAAAUGACGGGGCUGUUCCUGUUCUAUGAUACAGAGCAGAUCGUGAAGUCCGG